rnacentral:rRNA from 1 species
CAAGUCGAACGAUUAAAGCUCUCUUCGGAGAGUGUAUAGAGUGGCGCACGGGUGAGUAACACGUAAGUAAUCUACCUUCGAGUGGGGAAUAACAGUCGGAAACGACUGCUAAUACCGCAUAAUGCAGCGGCAUCGCAAGAUGACAGUUGUUAAAGGAGCAAUUCGCUUGAAGAGGAGCUUGCGGCAGAUUAGCUAGUUGGUAAGGUAAUGGCUUACCAAGGCUACGAUCUGUAUCCGGUCUAAGAGGACGGUCGGACACACUGACACUGAAUAACGGGUCAGACUCCUACGGGAGGCAGCAGUCGGGAAUUUUGGGCAAUGGGCGAAAGCCUGACCCAGCAACGCCGCGUGAAGGAUGAAGUAUUUCGGUAUGUAAACUUCGAAAGAAUAGGAAGAAUAAAUGACGGUACUAUUUAUAAGGUCCGGCUAACUACGUGCCAGCAGCCGCGGUAAUACGUAGGGACCAAGCGUUGUUCGGAUUUACUGGGCGUAAAGGGCGCGUAGGCGGCAAUUCAAGUCAUCUGUGAAAUCUCCGGGCUUAACUCGGAACGGUCAGAUGAUACUGCUUUGCUAGAGUGCAGAAGGGGCAAUCGGAAUUCUUGGUGUAGCGGUGAAAUGCGUAGAUAUCAAGAGGAACACCUGAGGUGAAGACGGGUUGCUGGGCUGACACUGACGCUGAGGCGCGAAAGCCAGGGGAGCAAACGGGAUUAGAUACCCCGGUAGUCCUGGCCCUAAACGAUGAAUACUUGGUGUCUGGAAUUAUUAUUGUUCCCGGGUGCCGUCGCUAACGUUUUAAGUAUUCCGCCUGGGGAGUACGCACGCAAG